GAGGAGCCUGCGGCGGAUUAGCUAGUUGGUAGGGUAACGGCUUACCAAGGCGACGAUCUGUAGCCGGCCUGAGAGGGCGGUCGGCCACACUGACACUGACAUACGGGUCAGACUCCUACGGGAGGCAGCAGUCGGGAAUUUUGGGCAAUGGGCGAAAGCCUGACCCAGCAACGCCGCGUGAAGGACGAAAUCCCUCGGGAUGUAAACUUCGCAAGAAUGGGAAGAAUUAGUAGGGGACAAUACCCCCUAUGAUGACGGUACCAUUUGUAAGCUCCGGCUAACUCCCUGGCAGCAGCCGCGGUAAAAUACGGGGGGAGCAAGCGUUGUUCGGAUUUACUGGGCGUAAAGGGCGCGUAGGCGGCCAGCGCAAGUCGGUUGUGAAAUCUCCGGGCUUAACUCGGAAAGGUCAACCGAUACUGCGCGGCUAGAGUGCGGAAGGGGCAACUGGAAUUCUCGGUGUAGCGGUGAAAUGCGUAGAUAUCGAGAGG
rnacentral:rRNA from 1 species